rnacentral:rRNA from 1 species
UACGUAGGGUGCGAGCGUUAAUCGGAAUUACUGGGCGUAAAGCGUGCGCAGGCGGUUUUGUAAGACAGGCGUGAAAUCCCCGGGCUCAACCUGGGAAUGGCGCUUGUGACUGCAAGGCUGGAGUGCGACAGAGGGGGAUGGAAUUCCCCGUGUAGCAGUGAAAUGCGUAGAUAUGCGGAGGAACACCGAUGGCGAAGGCAAUCCCCUGGGCCUGCACUGACGCUCAUGCAAGAAAGCGUGGGGAGCAAACAGG